ensembl:lncRNA
UGGUAACAAGUUUCAGGAUACUGAUUUCAGUAAAACAUCUGGGUAACAAAACAGGUUUAUUCUGACUUAAUGACUAAAUCUCCUCUGUCAUGAUUUCAUUUGUCAAAACUUUUUUUACUUUUAAAUAUUUAAGUACAUUGGUAACAUUUUUACUUUCACUCACAUAUGCAUCUGGCUAGAUAGUUUGACCUUUUUUCUCAGAAUCCAUACUUUCACUUGAGCAGCAAAAUUAUUUAAAUAUAAAUUUUACACCGCUGAGGGCACUGAUGGUGUUUCAUUUGUCUAUGAAUUACGAUUCAACUGGAAGACUGCCCCACAGAGAACUGCUUUUCUUGUCUCAGAUUUUGUUUUGUUUUUAAUUCAGGCACCAGGAGAAAAGAGUGUUCUUGAUAAAGGAGAUAUCUGACUCCAGUCUCACUGUGAGCCACUAUGACAUCUCAUAAAAGUGUGUUUAUUAGAUUCUGCAUUUAUCAUUACAAGUGCUUUGCAUGAGUGUGAAGCUCAUAUGAAUGAUAAAGUUAUUCGGCCAAAGGCUUUACAGUAACAGUUGUUACUCCUCCUGUCCUGUGAAGGGUGCUAGAGUCACUUCAGUUAGCACAGCAACAUUAUGUGCUGCUGGGGGUUUGAUUUGGAAGGGGGAACUUUCACGCGCUCGUCUCUGUGCUGUUAUCGGUACCUGUAUUGUCUGUAUAUAUUGUUUAAAAUACAGAGACCUGAAGUAAAGUAGUAAAAUGACUGAACUGGAUCGUCUGAACACUUUCAUGACCGAGCGCUUGAUGGCUGCUGUGAAGGAGAUCAUCUUCACGGUCGGUAGAACGGUUCGGGAGUAUGAGGAGGAAACGGAGCGAAUCCGGAGCGAAAACAAGCGACUGAAAGAAAUGUUACGAGACUCCGGGUGCUUCAGGGAGCAAGCUAAUGCUGCUCCUGUGCAGUCCUAUCAGCCCGUCUCUCCUGGGCAGCCCGGAUGGAUCUGCAGCCAGAAUGAGGAGCUAGAACCCAUUGAAGAGAUCCAGCAGGACCAAAGCCAGAGGCUCGGCGAGCAACACCCGUUCAUAAAACCGGAAAAGCCUGAGUACUCUGUCGAUGCUUACAGGGAAUCCAUAGCUUUGCCAUCAAAAGCCACCAAUGAUGAGGGCUCACACAUGUGCGCUGAUCACACCAACACAAAUCCUGUUGAGGAUGAAAUGACAAACUGUCAUUUCUCAUCUAAAAUCAAAGUUGAAUUCAUGAACUCCAGCUUGUGUUCAGGCGAUGCAAUGGGAAGCACUGAAGAUGCAUAUCAGAGCUGGUCGCCACACAGCCCAGAUUUGCCUUUAGGGACAUCGGACAUCUACAGAGCACAGCACCCAAACCAGCCAACAUAUGCUAACAGCGAAGCACCUGCCACAGUGUCUCAGCAUAGCAGUUCAUCUCAUGAUGCCAAUCACGUUUCAUAUCACAACAUAUUAUGUACAAACAGGGCUUACUGUAGCAGUAAAUGCUGUGAAAUGCAAAAGAGGACAAUAGCAAAAUCAAGCCCUGUGUGGAAGUAUUUCUCUCUAAAAGAGGGGGACUGUAGCAAAGCAGUGUGCCUUAUGUGUAGGGCCGUCAUAUCUCGUGGUCGCAAAGAAUACACAACAUCGGCCCUUCUAAAGCACCUUCGGAUGAAACAUGGAAAUGCGCUAAUCUUUGGCAGUGCUAAGAAGAGACGAAUGAAAGAGAUUACGAGAAAGACUGUGUGAAAACCACUAAAACACUCUCAGCCAGUGUGGACACUGGCCUUUGUGCAUCAUGGCCAACCUUUGAGUGUUUUCAAACAAAUUGAAAAAUCUACAUCAUACAGAGUGGGUUGAGAUAGGGCAGUCAGAAAUUUAUGCAUACAAUAAUCAUCCAAGCUUUUUGAUUAUGGUUACAGACGAAGAGUAGAAUUGUACUGUUUGGAAAAAAACAUCACAAUCUUUAGCUUGUAAGUGACUGGGGAAAGAAUUUCAUCAUUGUAUUGUCUAAAAAAAUAACAGGAUGUAAAAACUAGCUAGGGCACGAACAAUAUCAGAGAAAACUGUAAUAAAAAGAGAUUUAAUCAUUUUACA